UUAACAACUUUUCAUACUUUUUGAUUUGUUUGUAUCAAAAUCUAAAUUUAUAAUACUUUUCUUAUACUUAUUAUUUUCUUAUUAAUGACGAAUUAGUCAUUAAACCCGGGGAAAAAUCAAAAGAGAAAAAGUCAAAAGAGGCUUUGUAGGAGAAGAAUGAUACAAGGGGGCGCCAGGUUGAUUUACAAAGAGUACAAAAAGGGGGAAAGGGAGGGAAACAAAACAAUAAAGGGACAGAGAAAUGUUUUCGGGAAGUGCGUCACAGGGGUCAACAAAUUAAUUUACGAAGACUACAAAAAAAGAAAACCACGCCUGAAUGCUCCAGAUAGUUCUACUGCCUAUGGGUCCCAAAAUGGAUUAAUCUGGCCCUGCACUUUCUAUUAAUACCAGUCACAGAACUCUCAGCUGCGUUGCGCAGGCGCCGCAAAGCAAUAAAAUGUUAACUUUCUUCGGAACAAGUUUAAUUUUUUAGUUAACAACAGUUAACAGUUGCCAAAAAACUAUUCAAUCUAAGAAAAUCAAAUAUAUUUUAUCUUUAUCAAACGGCGCUUUUUGAUUAGAUAAAAGAUAUGUGAAAUGUCUUUACUAGAUUGAAAUCUGUCCGAAACAAAAAAUUUUGUAAAUGAAAAGCCCUUUUGAUGGGUAUCGCAACCCUCGGACGUCUUAAUGGCGAGAUAAAGAUAGUGAAAUAUCCAUGGCCGAUUACCAAUUUCAUGAGAACAUUUAUGUUCAAUCCUACAUGUUCUCUUUAUCAUUUAAGCAACAGAGGUGUUUUACCGCUCAAAGGCGUUUGUUUAUGUUUGCACAAUAUUUUGAAGGCAGGCUUAUUUACUUUUAGAUUUUCAGAUACGAAU